UACGUAGGGGGCAAGCGUUGUCCGGAAUCAUUGGGCGUAAAGAGCGUGUAGGCGGUUCGGUAAGUCCGUCGUGAAAGUCCAGGGCUCAACCCUGGAAUGCCGAUGGAUACUGCCGGACUAGAGUCCGGAAGAGGAGAGUGGAAUUCCUGGUGUAGCGGUGAAAUGCGCAGAUAUCAGGAAGAACACCCGUGGCGAAGGCGGCUCUCUGGGACGGUACUGACGCUGAGACGCGAAAGCGUGGGGAGCGAACAGG
rnacentral:rRNA from 1 species